UUACAGGCCCUGUGUUCAAAGCUUCAUUUGGAUUUUAACCAGCAAUUGUGCGGGCCGUGUUCUGCCUGAACUUUAAAUUUCCCGCGCCUGCUGGUUAUCAAGAAGAAAAUCGUCUUGCAACACAUCGUUUAUCAACGACGAAACGCUACAUAGCAGCGGAUCUGUGCUUCACAUCGGGCGCGUACCGUCACACACGCAGCUAGCGUUUUGGCAGCGGCAACAGUGUAGGCAGCACGUCUGACCGUUCUUCUUGCACAUUACAGGCCCUGUGUUCAUAGCUUCAUUUGGAUUUUAACCAGCAACUGUGCCGGCUGCGUUCUGCCUAAACUUUGAAUUUCCCGCGCCUGCUGGUUAUCAAGAAGCAAACCUUCUUGCAACGCGCCGUUUAUCAACGACGAACAGCGACGCAGCGGCGGAUCUGUGCUUCACAUCGCGGGCGGACCGUCAGACACGCAGCUCGCAUUUUGGCAGCGGCAACAGUGCAGGCAGCACGUCUGAUCGUUCUUCUUGCACAUUACAGAUCACCAAGGUCAGCGCAUCAUCAAAAUGCUGUUCUGCUCCGUACCCUUCCUUCUUGGGUUCGUGGUCGGUUUCCUGGCCUUCUGCUACACAACAGCGGAGGAAACACAGCUGCCGCAUCUCCGAGUCCGUCGAAGUGGUGGCUGCCCAAACACGCUCAACUGCCUCCAGAGCUGCCAGAACAGCGGCCGCAAAACAGGAGACUGCGUGGGACGCAAUCGCUUAUCCUGCGCAUGCAGUUAGAGAGCGACACUCGCCAACAAACUUAAAUAAAGCCAUAACCUGUGCUUGCUGUGCGCGGC